rnacentral:misc_RNA from 1 species
UGAGGCUCCAAUGCGUGGACACGUGUUUCCGGCUCUCACUUUUACGUCCGCAGUAACGCAGUAAAUCUUCUUUCGGUCUUAACCUAAGCUGGAGCGCUGCUCUUUUCCUCUCCCCUCUUUUAUUCCGUUGUACUUGGAGGCCGACUACUCAGUCAGCUAGCACAUCCUUCCCUUUUCCAGCAAUGGCGGAAGCUGCAACAAUCGAGAUACCUUCGCUAUCUGAAGUAUCGUUUUUUACUUCUUCUUCUCCAACUAUUUGAAAAUAUCUCAGUUUCUCUGGAUCGAAUGAUUUGAUUGCUUACCUAGAUCUGUGCAGCUUCUCUGUUUUCUUUGUUUUUGUUCUGAUUGGAUUGUUUCGGAUCUUCCGUUUUUAGUUCAAUGAAAUUAGUUGUCAUGGUUGCACAAAAUUAUUGGAGAAAGUAGACUUUUUAAGGAUUAAAUCGAGCUAAUGAUUUAUUGAUUUUUCUUUUAAUUUUGGAACUCUCUGUAUUUUUUUUAGGGAACAUUUUAGUUUGUUUGAUUAUGAAUUUAGUUCCUCUACGAUUUUGUUCGAGUAAUUUUGUAAAAGAUUAAUGUUUUUUUUUUCUUUGAAUGAAGAGAAAAAGAGGAAGUAUCUAUCUAGAAUAGAAGGUCUUAAUAGCUGAACUUAUGAUUUUGGUAUCAAAAACAAUUUCGUUUUAUUGAUUAGAAAUAUUGGCAUUAGCUAUUUUUUUUUUGUUUAGUGUAACUGUUUAGGAAUUGGUCAUGCUUCACCAAAUAAGUACCUUAGGCAUGCUAAUACUUGCUUUUCAGUUUACUGAAUGCCGCAUGAUUGCAUACCAAGCCUAGUUAAAGAUUGGCCUGAUUUGAUGUUCACCGACAGUUGACUAAGAAACUUGAAAAUCAAAUGCUUAUGGUACUGAUGGAAUAACAAUAGAGGAAUUGUUUUUGAAAUCACAUAUGAUGCAGCAUCGACUGAACUGCAUCAGUAUGCUUCAGUUGCUUAAUCAAAAUACUAAAUGAUAAAGAUACAAAUAAGACUUGACCAAACAAUGAUGGCUUAGCUUGUCUUUAAUAUUCUGCAAUUCUCAUUCAACUUGACCUUGUUCAUACAAAAUCAAAAUAAGCUUUAAAUACUUUGUAUCCUGAAGAUGUUCUGGUUAAGUUUGCCUUUCAAUUAUGUAAAUAUCCUUUUCCAGUGUUGUUACAAUGGCCGGCCCCUUUUGGACUGUGAUUAGUUUUUGGACCUUUGCCUUUGGGCAAGGUAUGCUCAACAAGUCAACGUUUCUUUCUUUCCUUGCCUGAAAUUAUUAUGCAUGAAUGCUGAUAGAACUUUUUGUCUAAUACUUUGAAAUGUAGCAAUAUUUAUUGAAGGAGAAAGAGGAGAAGGCUGAUGUAGGUUCAAAACUUGUGGAAGUAAACGAAGAAGUGAAACCUGAAACUGCUAUUUCUGAAGAGAAAGCUGAGGAAGCACCAACAGCUGCUGCUGAAGAGAAAGAGGAAGAUGCUGUUGCUGCUGCUGUUGAAGAGAUCACUGAAACUAAUCCUGCUUCUGAAAACAAUGGUGAAGAUGCUCCUGCUGUUGAGACAGAAGGCAGUGAAACUACCGAAGAGCAAAACUCAGAUGAACAAGAAGCUGCUGAUGAGAAACCAGAGAUAAAGCUGGAGACAGCACCAGCUGAUUUCCGUUUCCCAACUACUAAUCAGACAAGGCACUGUUUUACCAGAUACAUUGAGUAUCAUCGGUGUGUAGCUGCCAAGGGGGAAGGUGCUUCAGAGUGCGAAAAAUUUGGCAAAUAUUAUCGUUCUCUUUGCCCCAGUGAAUGGGUAUGUAUUUAGGAGAUUUUGAUAUACUAGUAAGCAUGAUAUUUGUUGUCUUUUCUCAAGUAAGACUUGAAGAAGCUCUUCAUCAUCGUCAUCAUCAUCUUCUCUUUCUUCUUCUUCUUUAUUUUUUAAAAGUUGUUCAGUGUUUUUACAUGCAUGAUAAUAUAUGUUAAGAGCUAUGUUCUUUCUUUUUUUAAAUUAUGGUUGGCUUACUGCUUUCCAACCAGAAAAAUAUUAUUGUUGGUUGAGUUAUGGCUUGGUGGUGGCAAUGUCAGAUCCAAAUAGGAUGUAAGUAGCCCUCAGAUAAAAAAAUGGAAAUGCAUGGCUUAUUAGUCUGAGGUUACAUUCCCUGUUUGUUAGUUUGUGUGAUUGGUGGGUUUUGCUUUCCAAAUGUUUUGCCUGCAGUGGAUUUUGGCAUUUUAUAUUGCUGAUAUGGAAGAUUGGAAAAAAUACAACUUAUGUCUGAAUCUGAAAUAUAUAAAGAAUAUAGAUGCCUUGGGACUAAUAGUUCCUGACUGCUGAUGAUAAUUGCUAUAUUAUAAUCUGUGGAUGAUUGAAAUGGUCAAAAAAGAAAUUUCUAUGGAAGACCAGAUGAAGAAUCUAUAAUGUUUUCUCAAAAGAACUUUUUAAAUGACAAGAAUUGGAAUAGAAUUGAAGAGAAUAAAGAAAAUUUGGUGGCUCUUCUCAACUCUGCAUGUUUCUUUAUAAUCUUUGUGAACUUCAACCUCUUGUGACUUUGCAAUUUUUUUGCGUCUUACUGCUGCAUCAUCCCUCUUGUGGCAACCAGCAAGUUGAUUGUAUGCAGCUUAAUUUGACCCUGAUCUUUAGUCAAACCCACUUCUUUUUAACAGCUUUUGUACAAUCACUCAGAUGACUCUAUACAAGAGUUGCUUUAUUCAAGCAUUUUAAAAAUUGCUUCCAGCCACUAUCAGAUAAAAACCUUCAUAAUUGUGUUUGCACCGCCCCGGCUCUGCAUGAAAUCCUCCAUCUACUGUUGCAAGUGUCUGCUUUUCUUUGUGUUUGCUAUGUGUGUCAGAAAGGGGGCAGGUGGGGUGGGGUUAAUUUUGUUGAUAGGUCCAAGCAUGUCCUAAUCAUAUGAAACUAUAGGCAGCUUUUAAGCUUGGAGAAUACUUAUACCAAUAAUCGUACAAACUUGCAUAUUGAUUUUGAGGAUGAUUAGUAGGUUAUCGAUGUUCAAAAAAACUCUUAUCUGUAAUCUGCUACAGUUGUGGUAUUAAUUUUGUAAUGUUGAGUUAUGCAUCAUUAUUGUAUUUUUGGUUUCCUGGCUUGGUUGUUGCUAACCUACAUGAGCUAACUUUUUGGUUUGUUUGGGCUGACCAGAUAGAGAGAUGGAAUGAGCAAAGGGAGAAUGGAACAUUUCCAGGCCCCCUGUAGAAGGUUCUUGUUUGAAGAUCCUUGUGCUGUUGGUUUUCUGCUGUAUCCAUGUUUUUACCACCAGAAGAAUUUCUUUGACGAGAAGUAUGUUCUUAGGGAAUGCCCUAUUUGAUCAGUGAGUUAAUAAGAAAUUUUGGCUUGUCCAUUUGAGUUGCAGCUCAAGUCUGACUAGAGGGAAUGUUGCUGCACUUCAUCUUUAUGAUGAAGCUUCUUUCUCCAUCAUUUCCCCAUCAUUUUUAACUGUCCUAUAAUGGUUACUGUUAGCAUUACUUUCUACAUAAUAAAAGAUAUACUGCUUCUUGAUCCCGCCAAUUUAAAAGAAGGGGCAAAAAUUGUUGAUGAAUGUCUAUUUUCCAGCGCUAUUGGAUGAGGACUUAGAACUCAAUUUUAGUUAUUGGCAAGGUAUCAGCAUCUGGGAUUUGAUUAUCCAAAUAUUCCACUUAUUAUUUCAUAUAAAACAUGUUGAUUCUACUCUGCUACUGUUGCCUUCAAACUUGCUGUUUGUGAUCAUAGGCUAAAGGUUAUGGAUGAGUAUGCACAAGCAAUUAACUAAUGUUAUUUGUGUUUCAUUGUCAGGCUACUGGAUUAACGUAGAGUAAAACAAUUCUUAUGUCAUUAUUGAUAGAGUAUUUAUUUUAUCAUGGCCGAGUCCAGUUUGCUUGAACUUAUGUUAAAAAGCUGUGAUCCCUGUAAAUGAAAGGAGAUAGCCCAC